rnacentral:rRNA from 1 species
ACACUGACGACAUGGUUCUACAGAAACCAGGAUUAGAUACCCUAGUACACUUAAAUUUAAUUAUUAAACACUAGAAUAUUAGAAGUUAUAUUCUUUAAAUUUAAAAAAUUUGGCGGUGUUUUAGUCUAGUUAGAGGAACCUGUUUUAUAAACGAUACAACACGCAUUAUUUUACUUGUCUUGGUAGAUCAGUUUGUAUACCGUCAUUAUAAGAUAAUUUAUGAGAAAAUAUUAUUGAAACCAUAUUAUUGAGUAUAUUAGAUCAAGGUGCAGCUUAUAGAUAAGUAAACAUGGGUUACAAUAAAAUUUAUUUUAAUAUGAAUUAAGUAUUUAAAUAUAUUUAUGAAGGAGGAUUUAAUUGUAAGGAGAGGUGUAGUGAGAUUUUCUGAUAAAAGCUCUAAAUUAUGUACUAUCGCCGUCGCUAGACCAAGUCUCUGCUACCGUACUCGUCUCUACUGAGCGGGCUGG